UGGGGAAUAUUGCACAAUGGAGGGAACUCUGAUGCAGCGACGCCGCGUGAACGAAGAAGGCUUUCGAGUCGUAAAGUUCUUUUAUAUGGGAAGAUAAUGACGGUACCAUAAGAAAAAGCCCCGGCUAACUACGUGCCAGCAGCCGCGGUAAUACGUAGGGGGCAAGCGUUGUCCGGAAUCACUGGGCGUAAAGGGCGCGCAGGCGGUCUGUUAAGUCAGAUGUGAAAGGUUAGGGCUCAACCCUGAACGUGCAUCUGAUACUGGCAGACUUGAGUAUGGAAGAGGUAAGUGGAAUUCCUAGUGUAGCGGUGAAAUGCGUAGAUAUUAGGAGGAACACCAGUGGCGAAGGCGACUUACUGGGCCAUAACUGACGCUGAGGCGCGAAAGCGUGGGGAGCAAACAGG
rnacentral:rRNA from 1 species